rnacentral:rRNA from 1 species
UACGUAGGGGGCAAGCGUUGUCCGGAAUCAUUGGGCGUAAAGAGCGUGUAGGCGGUCCGAUAAGUCCGCUCUGAAAGCCCGGGGCUCAACCCCGGGAGGCGGGCGGAUACUGUCGGGCUAGAGUCCGGAAGGGGCAAGUGGAAUUCCUGGUGUAGCGGUGAAAUGCGCAGAUAUCAGGAGGAACACCGAUGGCGAAGGCAGCUUGCUGGGACGGUACUGACGCUGAGACGCGAAAGCGUGGGGAGCAAACAGG